rnacentral:rRNA from 1 species
UACGUAGGGUGCGAGCGUUGUCCGGAAUUAUUGGGCGUAAAGAGCUCGUAGGCGGUGUGUCACGUCGGCCGUGAAAACCUGCAGCUUAACUGUGGGCGUGCGGUCGAUACGGGCAUCACUGGAGUUCGGCAGGGGAGACUGGAAUUCCUGGUGUAGCGGUGAAAUGCGUAGAUAUCUGGAGGAACACCGGUGGCGAAGGCGGCAUCCUGGACCAAUACUGACGCUGAGGAGCGAAAGCCAGGGGAGCCAAACGGGG